rnacentral:rRNA from 1 species
CGCCCUUGACAACAGAGNNNGAUCCUGGCUCAGGACGAACGCUGGCGGCGGGCUUCAUACAUGCAAGUCGAACGAGAACGCACCCUUCGGGGUGCAAGUACAGUGGCGCACGGGUGAGUAACGCGUAGGCAACCUGCCCUUGAGUGGGGAAUAACCAUCGGAAACGGUGGCUAAUACCGCAUGCAGUCGCACAUCGCAUGAUGUGCGAUGAAAGUCUUCGGACGCUCAAGGAUGGGCCUGCGUCGGAUUAGCUUGUAGGUAGGGUAAUGGCCUACCUAGGCUACGAUCCGUAGCUGGUCUGAGAGGACGAUCAGCCACACUGGCACUGAGACACGGGCCAGACUUCUACGGAAGGCAGCAGUAGGGAAUAUUGGGCAAUGGGCGAAAGCCUGACCCAGCCACGCCGCGUGGAGGAAGACACCCCU